rnacentral:rRNA from 1 species
CAAAUGAAUGACGGGGCCCGCACAAGCGGUGGAGCAUGUGGUUAAUUCGACGCAACGCGAAGAACCUUACCAGGGCUUGACAUCCCCUGACCGCGUAUGAAAGUACGUUUUCACCCUCGGGUGACAGGGAGACAGGUGGUGCAUGGUUGUCGUCAGCUCGUGUCGUGAGAUGUUGGGUUAAGUCCCGCAACGAGCGCAACCCCUACGUUUAGUUGCUAACGCGUGAAGGCGAGCACUCUAGACGAACUGCCGUUGACAAAACGGAGGAAGGUGGGAUGACGUCAAAUCAUCAUGCCCCUUAUGUUCUGGGCUACACACGUGCUACAAUGGCCGGUACAGACGGACGCAAAGCCGCGAGGUGGAGCAAAUCCUAAAAAGCCGGUCUCAGUUCGGAUUGCAGGCUGCAAUUCGCCUGCAUGAAGUCGGAAUCGCUAGUAAUCGCAGGUCAGCAUACUGCGGUGAAUACGUUCCCGGGCCUU